GGGGGAAAAAAGUAGGAGAAGCUCUUUUCUCUGCCACUGAAUUUGCUCUUCUCCUUUAUCCUCGUUUUUCUUUCUUUGUUUCCUGUUUCGAAGACUUGAAAGCUUUUGUUAGUUUUCCCGAGCAGCCAAUGAAGGCUCUGUGUGUGCUUUGAUGCUCCAUGAAUCCAUGCGCAAACUAAGCCCAGCCAAUUGGUUCAUACAAAGAAAGUAGAAGAAGACUCAAUCCAUUCGGUUUCCGAAAGCCUUUUAGGAUAAAAAGACAUGUAAAAAGUCAUGAUUUCGUGGUCUGAAAGAGUUUUUCAUUUCUUACAUAAUUUUUGCUUGGACUUUGGAUUAUUAAAAUUUAUUUUCACUGUUUCAUAAGAAUUUCUAACAUUUUGAUAUCACUAAUAAAAUAAAUGGAUUAAAAACACUGAUUAUUUUCUCCUCUUACCCAUUUCUUUUGUUAUAUUCCUUCACUGGCCCUCUGGGAGAAUCAUGUGCAUACGUGCAAUACAACAAAAGGUGGAAAAACACAAACCAAUAAACCCAAGUGGUUUCCAUAGAUUAAAAAAAAUUCUCAUUUUAGUUUUAAAGAAGAUUGUCACUUCUGUUCUGGUUGUAAUUCUGUUUUCUCAAUUGUAAUGAUAUGUUUUAGUUUUGAAGUAUUUUAACAUGUGUUUUCGGGAUUGUAGUAUUCUUAUAUAUAAUUCAAAAUAUUAAUUCGAUAAAUAUAAUUUCAAUUUAAAUUUAAAAAUAAACAAAUUAGAAAUUAUAUUAUUCAAAUUUCAAGCACAAAGUAAAAAAAUAGAGUUGAACCUGUUUGAAAUUAUACAAUUUAAACUUCAAACACAUGUAAAAAAGUAGGAGUUGAACCGAUAUAACCUAAUCGACUCGAUGAGUCCAAAAACAACCUGGACAACCGGUAAAAAUACAGUUUGACUAUAAAAAAAUCCAACUUAACAUCUUUUAAAAAAAAUUGAGACGAUAACAUGUUAGUCGACCCGGGUUAACCUUUUAAAUUCGUGACCCAAGUAAUGAGAUUAUGAUAAUUUCGAAUAAAGCAAAUCAAAACAAAUUAUAAAACUCAAUUUUCAAUAAAUCCAUUAUUGAAUGAUAAAUUUUUUAAAAAAUUAAUCUAAAAAAAGACAAUAAAAUAACAUUUCUAAAUAAAAUCAUGAAUUUAGACAAAAUUACAAAAAUGCAUUUAAUGAGUCAUUUUCUAUAUUUGUGUCCUAUCAUUUUCUGGACUUUGAUUACUCUAAAAUUUUAACAUGAGAUAUAAAAAUAUAUCAGGAGAUUCUUUGUAAAAUUUCAACUCGAUUUCAUGAUCGGAUUGAGAGAUAUGAUUGAUACUAUAAAAUUAAAAAAUAUUAUUUAAAAAAAAAGCAAAAAAAAACAUUAUUUUGCCGGAACAUAAACUGGAAUUUAGACGGAAUUUUUGGAGUAAACUGAAAUUCUAAAUGAGAUAAAAUUUAUUCUAAUUUGUUCUAUUUUUUAAACUGUAACAAAAAUAUAUCAACCAUUCCGAUAAAAUAGAAUAAAAAUGACAAUCUUAGUUUGUUUCUUCUCUUACCCAUUUCCUUUGUUAUAUUCCUUUGAGAAAAUCAUGUCCAUACCAACAAAAAGGGGGAAACACGGGAGAAAUAAUUAACAAAUCCAACUAACUUGAAUUAUAGGUUGACUUGAAAAAAAAAUUGAAGACUCCAAGUAUAAGUAUAUAUGUAUUUUUAUGGUUGUCAUUUAAAAAACAAUUAUAAAUUAUAAUUUUUUCAAAUUAAAGUUUUAAAAAAGAGUUUAUAAUGAAAUUUAUUAUUCUAAUCACAAUUGUUAAUUCUAAUAUGACUUAUUACAUGAUCAUCUAACAAACUAAAGACUUAAAAUAUGUGUUUAGAAUUGUGAUAGUUUUUAUUGAUAUAAUUUUAAUUUUUUUUUUGAAAAAAGCUAUAAAUCAUAAUUUUAUUAUUAUUAUUAUUAUUAUUUUAUUUUUUGUAAUCCAGGUUUCAAAAGAGUUUGACCCUUGAAAAUCCUUUUUCCAGAUAUGACAAUAUUUUCAAGUUUGACACCAAAGCAGCAUGAUAAAAAGAAAAAAGAAAAAAGAAAAAAGAAAAAAGAAAGUAGAAACAAAACGCACCGUCAUACGGAUAACAAAAUUACUAAAAUAAACGCAAAAUAGGACAAAUUCGUCAAUUACAUAUACACAGAUAAUAAUAAUAAAUAAAUAAAAAACAGCAUCAACUCACCUUCUUGUCCUCUUCGAUAACAACCAAGACCAGGCCCCAUUAGGUCCAUCAUCUCUUCUCUACCUCCUCCGUUAUUUCCUUUAUCUAACCCUCUCCCUCGUCCCUCUUCCUCUCAUUCAAUCUCUCCAUGAAGCGCCCACUAGACACCGGACCCGAAAUCCACAACAAAACCGACAUGAAAAUGAAGAAGAAAAGGCACCAAGAAGAAGGAGAAAUCAAGGAAGAAAUAGAAUCCGAAACCAAUACAGGAACUGGGUUUAUGAAUUUAGACGAGAACUUACUUUUCGAGGUGUUGAAGCAUGUAGACGCGAGGACUUUAGGGAGGGCAUCCUGUGUGAGCAAGCAGUGGCACAGGACAG
rnacentral:lncRNA from 1 species